UCUGAUCACCAUCACUGGGUUUUGGUGUCACCAACAGUUUCCUGUAAAUGGAUGUUAAAGAAGAUAUACUCCAAGACUUACUCUCUGCAGUUAUGAUUAUGAACAUCUGUUCAUGUUUACAGAGGACCCAGAUUAAGUUAGAAACUGUCAGAGCAAAGAACGCACAAGGAAAUGCCCACACUCUUCAAUCUUUUUUACUUUUAUCAACAAAUGUGACAAGGUACUCAGGGCGCAGGUUCAUGAAGCCGAUGUCCCCAAGGAGAGACCCUUUUAUCAGGAUCCUCAAAGCAGCGUCCGUGAGAAGAAGACUCUGUCUCAAAGGCUGGAACUUGACCACGAAUCGAGCGUGCCUGGGUACACCAGCCUCGCCUGCAAGCACGCUCCAAGAGGAGUUGUACCAGUGAUUUUCUCUGGCCCAGGCCACCCCACAGCGGGUUUCACUCGCCUGUCCCCGUCUCAUCACCUUUGCUUCUCUGUGCACCCUCCCUUCUUCGCUCUUCUCUCCCAGACACGGGCCCACAAAUGCCUCCUCGUGCCUCAGACGGGACGGCUCGCCCAUCCUCUGGCGUCCUCUGUCCCAGGGGACUCCAUCGGGCAUCUCCCCAAACAGAGACGGUUCCUCCUGAAGAGGGAUUCUGCCACUGCGAAGAUGCCGCUUGUUAAGAUGCUACAGUAGUCUUCAACGUGCUGUGUUACCGACAAUAACGAUAACAAUACUAGCAUCCACAAUUGUUAAAUGCUCCCCAUAAGCCAGACACGCACUCUGUAUUAUGUCUUUUAAACUUCACAACAAUUCUACCAGGCAGCCACUGGGGGAGGAGAGUGUUGGAAGGAACAAGGAGGAGGCUCAGAGAGCUGACGGGAGCGGAUCAGGCCACGGGAUGUCACUCUCCUACCUUGAGCGGUGGGUCACCUCUCAUCUUGUUAUUUGAUUGGCUUGCUAGCAAGGAGCGGCCGGGAUCUCUGCUAUGUUCAUCUCUGUGUACCUGGCAAAGCACCCGAGCCUGUAGAUUGGCCUAGCUGUAUGCCAGCCUGCAGGCUGUGGGUGGGAUGCAAUCUGCUCCUUGACCCCGCGGCUGUUCUGGGUCUGCUAGCCGAGCGCACGAGCCACCAAGCGGAGCGCACGAGCCACCAAGCGGAGUGCCAUCCAUUGCAGGCCUCGGCACGCGCCACACCCACUGACACUGUGUUGGCCGAAGCGAGUCACACGGCCCAGCCCAAGUCAAGGGAUGAGGAGGAACCCUCUGCCCGCCAUGGAGCCGCGGUCGAUGGGAAGAUGUACACUUCUAGCACGGGAGGAAGUACAGAUGUCCGGGCAUGACCCAGCCAGCCGCGAGAGUCUUUGGGAAAAGCGUGGGGUCUGCAGUCCCACGGCCGGUGGCGAGUCCCAGCUCCGCCACCUGCGGGUGCGUGCCCUACGUGACCUCCCUCGGCUCCCAGCUGCGGCCACCGUGUCCCUGGUUCCUGAGACGGUGUACCCUUCUCUGGAGGAGACGCCAGCGCCGCUCAGUGGCCGCCAGUAACAGGCGCGGGGCAAGCGGCAGGAGAACGCUCGGCGCCAUGUUGGCUCUUCACCCCCACAGCACCUUCUCCACGCCCCUCACACACGGUGUGGACUCGCUCACGGUGUGUGCCCCGACCAGAGAACAGGCUGGGGAGCCGGGAACCGACAGACCCACCAGGGCAGAGAGAAGGACGCCGACGGGAGAGCAAAUCCCAACUGUUAAGGUCACCAACUUCACAGAUCGUCCCAGCGCUGCCGCAAGGGCUUUGGAAGAGCUGUGGCUUUGUCACGGAGACCCCUUCUCACUCAGGCGUCCCUCCCGUCAACAAAGAUUGACCGAACGGCUGCCCUUCCCUGGGCUCUAAGGAUGGGGAAACUGAGGCACAGAGAGAUUCCUGCUGUCACUGAAUUCACAGCCUGUGUUAGCAAAGGUUCUCAGGAGAAAAAGAACCAAUAUUAGAUAUGUGUGUAUAUGUAUAACAUUAUACAUGUAAAGAGAUUUAUUAUAAAUAACUGGCUCACACAGUUGCGGAGGCUGAGAAGCCCUAUGAUGUGUAGUCAGCAGGCGGAGGGCGAUGGGCUGGUGGUGCCGUUUCAGCUCGAGUCCGAAGGCCGGAGAAUCAGGGGAGCCAACGAUGCGCGCUCCUGUCUGAAGGCCAGCAGGCUCCAGAACCAAGAAGAGCUAAUGUUUCAGCUUGAGCGCAAGGGCAGGAAAAGGCCGAUGCCCCAGCUCUCCGCAGUCAGGCAGAAGGAGCCCGCUCUUACUGGUGGGAGGGGCAGCCUUUUUGUUCUAGUCAGGCCUUCAACUGAUUGGACAAGGCCCACCACAUGGGGAGGGCCACUUGCUUUGCUCAAUCUACCCAUUCAAAUGUCAGUCUCAUCCAGAAACACCCUCACAGACACACACACACACCCAGAAUCAUGUUCGGGCAGAUAUCUGGGCACCCUGUAGCCCAGUCAGGUUGACACAUAAAAUCAACCAUCACAUAGCCUCACGGGAAAGGCAGAAACCGAAGAAGUAAACACAAGCGCAAUGAGGUUUAAGAGAGCGGGAGGCUAAUUCCAUAAAACACAGAGGAGUUAAAACUAGUUCACACAGCUAGUGACCGGCAGAGAACAGCUCGGGAGACCGACAGCCUUAUCUCCAGGCCUGUGUGCUGACGCCAGGCUGGCGUCUCACUUGGUUUUUUCCAACAAAAACAUCAAUGUUUGUUUCUAAACAGUCAGCCAGAUGACCUGUGUCCUCCAGAGGAGCUUCACUGGGGUGACCCUCUCAGGCAGAUAGGGUUAAUCAUGUGACAAUGCAGAUUUGUUGGCCAGGCAUUUCCUUAUGUGGUCAGCCCUGUGCUAAGCACAUAAACACGUGAGAGAGGUUCCUGCCUUCCUGGACUCUGCAGAUUCCUGGGAUUCCAUACCUCCACCUCCCUUCCUUGGGCUAAAGGAUUCCAUACACUCUAAAUGGAGAGCGUUCAUUUGCCUAAUGAGCUGCAGACAGUAGGAUGACCCCCAGAUCGCAGGCUCAAGCAUUGCUUAAUUUUGCACGUGAGCACCCACCGCAGUUUCAUUGCAACAAAAAUGGGCCCGAGGUCAUCUUGGUAAAGGGUAAACCAAUAUUUGUUCUUGAUUUUGAAAGAAGGCCGGGAUUAAAUCUGCCUGUCCCAGCCGUGCCUGGCUGAGCUUAUGAGAAGGUGACUUUUCCAUUAAAAGCCCAGCUCAUGUUUUAUGUAUUUCUAAAGAGCCACAAUUUGAACUUAAUUCCUCCGUUAAGACAAGAACCCCAAAGUUACUAUUUAUUAUAAAAUGUCACACGCAGCCAGAGGCCUUGAUGGGUCAGGGAGGGCUGGGCGACGUAUACUUGAGAAGUAAUAAAAUUGACACUGAGUGACUUCCAGACCCGGAGAGUUGCCCUAAGAGUUCAAGAAUAGAAAAUCUGAAACCAAACCAUGAAUAAAUCUUGGGAAAGUUGAUAGCGGAGCUUUAAAGAAAGGAAGCCGGUAAAUAGGCUGAGUCGAAAUUGUGAAUUCGCGUGAUGAGGGUUAAAGGAAGUGACCUCAGGUUGGCAGUGAAUUGUAGAGGGUUAUUACGUGCAUAAAGUGGGCACCUCACCAAGGGUGCCUCCUUUAAAGCAGUAUCCUUACCCACGUAGCUUCCAGCUGACACUCACAGCAGGCAGGGACAACCUCCCUUGGGACCCACAGCUAGUAAGUGGCAAAGCCAGGAUUUGCACUCAAGUCCGUCUGGGUUAAUACAUGUGAAGGGCUCAGAACAGGGGGGCCAGGCACCACACAGAAAUCACUUUAUCUAUGCUGGCUAUCAUCAUCAUCAUCAUUAUUAUUAUUAUAUUUCGAAGCCUAAAGACAAGGCCAGCUUUCUUUACCGUGGGUCUCAGAGUGAGCCCUUCAAAGAUUCUCCAUGGUGUCACCUGAAAGUUGACUCAAGUUGAUGUGCUGCCCAAGUGGAUCAGGGUAGAAACUACUAGCCAUAAUUGGCUAAUUCCCCCACCCACCGCAGCCCCAAGACACCACAUGUAGCAAUAGCUUUUAUUACCCAUUUUAUCUUGUGGUUCGCUUUCUUUAAUUUACUAACGUCCGUGUGCAUCUUUCCACACCGGCACACGGAGCCCUACCCACUGUCCACAGAGGCUGCCCGGCAGUCCCUCGUACUGCUAUAUUGCGGUUUAAGUGACUGUUCCCUUGUAUCGCUGGACACUUUGGUUCUUGUCGUUUUUUUCAACAUGAAAAACAAUGCUGCCCUGAGCAUCCCGGUACGCUAACCUUGUAUGCUUAUGUUAGAAUUUCUGCAGGAUAGAUUCCUACAAGUGGGGUGACUGGUCAAUGGUGGACACAUUCAAAAUGUUGAUAAUGCCAAGCUUCCCUCCCUAAAAGUCCUGUCUACACUUUCACCAACAUUAGAGAUUUCCCAUUUUCUUCA